GCUUGUUUUGUCUCUUAACCUGCUGACAAACAGUUGUUGCAACAUCCAAGAAGAAUGCUUGCGUCUCCCUGGUUUUCUCCUUCCUCUACAAAAUUGUUCAGGUUUUCUCAGAAUACUUUAAGGAGCUGGAGGAGGAGAGUAUCAGAGAUAACUUUGUCAUAAUCUAUGAGCUGCUGGAUGAACUCAUGGACUUUGGAUACCCGCAAACCACUGACAGCAAGAUCCUCCAGGAAUACAUCACGCAGGAAGGUCACAAGCUGGACACGGGCGCUCCGCGGCCCCCUGCCACGGUCACCAACGCCGUCUCCUGGCGGUCAGAGGGCAUCAAGUACAGGAAGAAC